rnacentral:rRNA from 1 species
GACGAACGCUGGCGGCGUGCUUAACACAUGCAAGUCGAACGGAAAGGCCCUGCUUUUGUGGGGUGCUCGAGUGGCGAACGGGUGAGUAACACGUGAGUAACCUGCCCUUGACUUUGGGAUAACUUCAGGAAACUGGGGCUAAUACCGGAUAGGAGCUCCUGCUGCAUGGUGGGGGUUGGAAAGUUUCGGCGGUUGGGGAUGGACUCGCGGCUUAUCAGCUUGUUGGUGGGGUAGUGGCUUACCAAGGCUUUGACGGGUAGCCGGCCUGAGAGGGUGACCGGCCACAAUGGGACUGAGAUACGGCCCAGACUCCUACGGAAGGCAGCAGUGGGAAAUAUUGCACAAUAGGCGGAAGCCUGAUGCAGCAACGCCGCGUGCGGGAUGACGGCCUUGGGGUUAUAAACCGCUUUCGCCUGUGACGAAGCGUGAGUGACGGUAAUGGGUAAAAAAGCACCGGCUAACUACGUG